rnacentral:rRNA from 1 species
UUGUACACACCGCCCGUCGCUACUACCGAUUGAAUGGCUCAGUGAGGCGUCCGGACUGGCCCAGAGGGGUGGGCAACCACCCUUCAGGGCCGGAAAGCUCUCCAAACUCGGUCAUUUAGAGGAAGUAAAAGUCGUAACAAGGUCUCCGUUGGUGAACCAGCGGAGGGAUCAUUA